GUGCUGAUGAUGAAUCCAGGUAACAUUGAAGCCUUCCAAGCUUUAGCCUCGGGUUCAAUUCCCGAUGAGUUUA
rfam:Rhinocladiella mackenziei CBS 650.93 unplaced genomic scaffold supercont1.1, whole genome shotgun sequence.